GGAGUUCGUCUAGGAUCAGGCGAAAAACUUGACGAUAUACUUAGUUCAAUGAAUCAGGUAGCUGAAGGUGUUGCAACAGCUGGAGCUGUGAUUGCUUUAGCACAGAAGUACAAGGUCAAAAUGCCAGUUUUAACUGCAGUUGCAAGGAUUAUUGACAAUGAAUUAACACCCACAAAAGCUGUUUUUGAAUUGAUGAACCUCCCUCAGGUUGAAGAAGUUUAAAGAAGCAGUGGUGUUAGAAAGACUAAUAGUUGCUGGAUGACAGCUGAACAUGUAUAUACAAAUUGUGACUGGCUGGCUUAGUUUGCUGCUUGAGGCUCACAAUCAACAAGUUGGAUAAUGAUGGUCACCUGUUUACAGGGCUGCACAGUGCUGACAAUCUCCAAGUUUAUGGCGAUGGAAUCUGUCUGAGUUCCUUUUUACCAUGUUAUUAGUUACACUUGCCCAAAUAUGCCUAUGAUAAUU
rnacentral:misc_RNA from 1 species